rnacentral:lncRNA from 1 species
UUUUCCUUCGACUACAUCGUUCCACCACCAGUCACCCUGAUGUCUGCCUGAAUAGCCCUUGGCUACCCCGAGCACAUCUUGUGCUACCUCCCUAACCAAGUUCGCCGUCUCUGACCACAUAGCGUCCGCUUCCCCAGAACCUCUCCAAGCUCCGCCCUCAGAUAACCUCCUCUCUAACUCCUGGGCUUUCUCUUUAGUCAAAGCAUCCCAUUUAAUCUACGGUUGUCCCCGAGUACCCCUCCUCUUCCUCUUUACCCAGAGACCGACAUCCAUCACUAGGAGUUUAUGAAGAGUCGAAAGGGACUCUCCCGGAAUAUCCUUGCAGUCCUUGCACAUCCCCUAUCGCUCCUUCUGAUGAGAAUGUAAUCAAUUUGAGUCCUCGCCGCCGAACUCUUGAAGGUGACCAAAUGCUCCUCCCUUAUCGCUCUUUCUGAGGAGGAGGUAAUCAAUUUGAGUCCUUACCGCCGCACUCGUGAAGGUGACCAAAUGCUCCUCCCUCUUCUGAAAUGUCGAGUUCGCAAUCAAAAGCUCGGAAGCCCUGGCAAAAUCAAGCAGUGAUGUGCAUCCUCCGUUCCUAACCCCAAAGCCGAAGCCACCGUGCACCUCGCCAUAACCACCAGCAUCAACCCCAAUAUGACCAUUAAAGUCCCCUCCAAUAAUUAAAUUCUCAGAUUGGGGGAUACUACUCACCAGAUCAUCCAAGCCCUCCCAAAAGCGCCUCUUAACCUCCUCGUCUAAGCUCGCUUGCGGCGCGUAAGCGCUGAUGACGUUGAGGACGCAACCCCCCAUAACCAACUUAAUAGGCAUUAACCUAUCAUUCACUCGUCUAACCUCGGCCACGGACUCCCUUAUAUCCCUAUCUACCAAGAUGCCCUUCCAUUCUUACCUCUCACGACCCCAGAAUACCACAGCUUAAACCGGUCUGCAUUCCUCGCCUUCGACCCUUUCCACCUAGUCUCAUGGACACAGGCUAUGUUGACCCUCCUAUUCUGANN